CCAUUUAGCUCCAGCAAGACAGGCCCAUGGCUCAAGCAGAGAGAACUAAAGUUAGAGGCUCCAACCUAUAAUCCUCGGACCGCCUGUAGAGGAAACGGCGCCACCAAGUUGAACGAGCUAGACGGUGACAUGGAUGACAAGCAAACCAGAAUUGCAUAAAAGAAAGGCCAAAGCAAACGAGAAGAAGAGAGAACACCCGAAACAAGCCAACCCUACACAAAACAAAUCACAACCCAGGCCAAACUACACGCUGAAAACAUAGCUAAACAGGAGAUCUCCAGGCGAUAGGCAGCGCUCAACCCUCCUGGCCAUUUAAGGAAUCGGAUAUCUACUGAAGACGUCAGUUUCGUCUCCAAAAAUUAUCAUACCAUAAAAGAAACGUGUCAAUCUUGAGAAAAACAACCCAUGCAAGGCAACCCAACACACUAGGAAGCAGAAGCCUUCAACCCAACACAGAUCUUCAACCCUACGCCAUAGAUCUGAAUCUCUAGGUGGUGCUUGAAACUGAGAUGCAAACAAACUGAAAUCCUUCACUUGUACUGCUGGUCUGUCACCAAAACAAAAGAAACUCAUAUGUAUAGUCCCACCCGAAGGGAGGAAGGAAAAAUCCGCACUCUGGUAAGGUGGAAAGGCCACUCCUGCCCGGAUGGACAGGGGAAGCCAACGGAUGCAGCAGAGAAACGAGGCCUAACCUUAAGGAGAAAAAGACCCUUUCGGAGAAAGUUCGCUUUUUAACCAAAAAAGCAGUUGAGUCUCAAAGCAGUUCACAAGCUAGUACUGUUGCAGAAGAAAUUCCUUCCUAGCCCUACUUCCACCUUAACCUUGCCAGGCAACAUAAUAAAACAAACAC
rnacentral:misc_RNA from 1 species